UUCAAAACUCCAUUUCUCUCUCCAAAAUCAAUUUUCUCACUCUCUCGUCUGGUUUUCAGAAUCAACCCAUUGUCCCUCAGAAACAUUCAAAUCCAUUCAUCUCCCUUCUACCUCUUCCACCACCGCCGUUUGAGCUCAUCCACCACCGAUUUUGAUCCUUUUCUAGUAAGUGGAUAUUAUUUGCAUUUUUCUUUGUCAGCUUAGAGAGGAAGGACCAUGUGAGGAUAUCAGCUUUGCUGGCCAGUCUUCUAGCAUCAAUGAAUGUAUUCUUCCUGCAAAAUAAUUUGAUGGCAUGUGGGAAAGCCUUCGCAAAAUACCGAUGAAUAGAAAUAAACUCCACUAGACAGAGAAGAACAAUUACAGGAAAAAUCAAUUUAUCUUUAUAAAUCACUUUAUUUUUCAUACUUUUGUGUCCUCCACAUGUUUGAUAUAAUAUUUUUCUUAUUUGUCAAAGAUGUUACCUAUUGUGAUGUGGGUUUGUGAGGCGGUAUAAAUAUCUAUGAAAGACCAUCCUACGAACAAGGGAGGAAUGGUGAUUGAUAUGAUAAAGAGAAGCUGAAGAGGAUUGUUAUAAAGAGGAUUGUAUAAAUAUCUCUUCCAGAUCUUGAUUUGCGUGAUCGCUGAUAAUUUAAUCAAUCAUACUUUUUAUACACUAUUCUCUGGUUUUCUAUAGAGGAUACAUUUCUGAGUGGAGUAAAUGUUCCUGCUCUACCUAUAAACCAAAACGUACUGAAGUGAAGUGGAGAAAGAUACUAGCUGCUUGGUGGUUAGUGGAUCACUUAAGGACGAAGCUGAGAUACGGAUGGCAAGGUAGCAAACUCCAAUGCCAGUCUCUGGUAUUUCCUUUUUCUUUGAUUUUUUCUAGGGUUUAAUAUGUUUUUGGUCCUUAUAAAUAUUGCAGUUUCAUUUUUAGUCCCUCCUGGGUUUUGGAAACGA